CCAGCCAAACUACCUCUGCUGGGGAAAAAAAGAAAAUAAGUGUGGGCAGAGAAAUACAUUCUUCUUCCAAAAUCAGCUUUAAACCAGAAGACAGCACAACUCCUUUGAUUUGCACCAUUCAAAGGAUGAAUUCAAAACAUGGCUUGACCCUGUGAUGCACUUGGCAGCUGAGCCUCCCUGCAUGGUCCCAGGCUCCGGAGGGCACUCAAGGAGGGCAGCAAGGCAGGAUGCAGGGGGGAAACGGAUGCAGAAUGAAAACCAGAAGGACUUCCAAGAGGAAUAGAAAUGACUGAGGCUAUGGAUGAAGGCGUAACUAGAUGUUAAUGAGAGAAAGUCUGACCUACAGGUGGACGCAGGAGAGCUCUGCUGUGAGAUGUCGCGGGCAUCACGCUGACAGCCCUCCCCGACCCCCGUCCCUCCACGUCACGCUGAACAAGCUGCAGGACAACUGGGGGCUGUUGCUGCAAUGACAGAGGGCACAGCAGUCCCCCUGCUUGCACCCAGAGCCCUGCUGCUUCCCAGUGCACUGCUGCCAUCAGCCAGGAAGGGGAAGACCUUGCCCUGACUGAAAAGAACUGAGAAGGACAAUUUCUCCAUGAGUGUUGCAGUGAGACAACCAAGGGAUUAAAAGGGAGAGUGAGGCUCAGGCCUAUCACCAUCCACAUGACAAUGCCUUUUAGCUUGGUAGAAACCCUGAAAUGAAGACGUCCAACUACAGCAACAAAAACUGCCCAGGAACAAUCAUCACAUUCAGCUAAGCUGCAUGAAACAUAUUGCAAGGGACACCAAACGCCAAAAU